AUACUUACCUGGCUGGGGCGAUGCCAUGAUCACAAAGGUAGUUUUCCCAAGGUGAGGCUUAGCCAUUGCCCUCUGGACGUGCUGGCCCCUGCGAUUUCUCCAAAUGUGGGAAACUCAACUGCACAGUUUGUGAUAGUGGGGGAUUGCGUUUGCAUUCUCUCCUG